rnacentral:rRNA from 1 species
UCUGGCUCAGGAUGACGCUAGCGGCGCGCUUAUGCAUGCAAGUCGAGCGAUGAGGCCUCUUCGGGGGGUACAUCAGCGGCAGACGGGUGAGUAACACGUAGGUGAUCUACCCCAGAGACGGGGAUAACGGGUGGAAACAUCCGCUAAUACCGGAUAGGCUUGUUCGGUCAAAGGGACAAGGAAAGGCUCCGGCGCUCUGGGAGGAGCCUGCGGCCCAUCAGCUAGUUGGCGGGGUAACGGCCCACCAAGGCAAAGACGGGUAGGGGGUGUGAGAGCAUGGCCCCCCACAAUGGGACUGGAACACGGCCCAUACUCCUACGGGAGGCAGCAGCAGGGAAUAUUGCACAAUGGACGGAAGUCUGAUGCAGCGACGCCGCGUGGAUGAAGAAGGCCCUCGGGUUGUAAAAUCCUUUACAGGGGGAAGAGGAAGGACGGUACCCCUGGAACAAGUGUCGGCUAACUACGUGCCAGCAGCCGCGGUAAGACGUAGGACACAAGCGUUAUCCGGAUUUACUGGGCGUAAAGCGUCUGCAGGCGGACAGGUAAGUUGGGCGUGAAAGCUCCGGGCCCAACCCGGAGAGGUCGUUCAAUACUGCGUGUCUAGAGGGUGUCAGAGGGGAGUGGAAUUUCCGGAGUAGCGGUAAAAUGCGCAGAGAUCGGAAAGAACACCAAUGGCGAAGGCAGCUCCCUGGGGCAACCCUGACGCUAAGAGACGAAAGCUAGGGGAGCGAACAGGAUUAGAGACCCUGGUAGUCCUAGCCCUAAACGAUGGAUGCUGGAUGUGGGGCCAUAGCGCUCCGUGUCGAAGCGAACGCGUUAAGCAUCCCGNCUGGGGACUACGGCCGCAAGGUUAAAACUCAAACGAAUUGACGGGACCCCGCACAAGCAGCGGAGCGUGUGGUU